GAUGAACGCUGGCGGCGUGCCUAAUACAUGCAAGUCGAGCGAACAGACGAGGAGCUUGCUCCUCUGACGUUAGCGGCGGACGGGUGAGUAACACGUGGAUAACCUACCUAUAAGACUGGGAUAACUUCGGGAAACCGGAGCUAAUACCGGAUAAUAUAUUGAACCGCAUGGUUCAAUAGUGAAAGACGGUUUUGCUGUCACUUAUAGAUGGAUCCGCGCCGCAUUAGCUAGUUGGUAAGGUAACGGCUUACCAAGGCGACGAUGCGUAGCCGACCUGAGAGGGUGAUUCGCCACACUGGAACUGGAACACGGUCCAGACUCCUACGGGAGGCAGCAGUAGGGAAUCUUCCGCAAUGGGCGAAAGCCUGACGGAGCAACGCCGCGUGAGUGAUGAAGGUCUUCGGAUCGUAAAACUCUGUUAUUAGGGAAGAACAAAUGUGUAAGUAACUAUGCACGUCUUGACGGUACCUAAUCAGAAAGCCACGGCUAACUACGUG
rnacentral:rRNA from 1 species